GCCCACGUGGCGGAAUUGGUAGACGCGCAUGGUUCAGGUCCAUGUGCCUUCGGGUGUAGGGGUUCGAGUCCCUUCGUGGGCACCA
rnacentral:tRNA from 48 species